AAUAAAUAUAUUUUUGAUAUGUUUAUGUUUAAGUUUUAACCGUUCGUCUUAUUUGAAAAUUUUUUAUGAUUAGUAUUUUUGUUAUUAUUAGAUGAUAAAAUAUGAAUAGUAUUUUAUGUGUGACUAAUUUUUUUAUUUUUUAUUUAUAAAUUUUUUAAAUAAGACGUACGAUCACGUUAGAUACGUAUAUCCACCCACUGCUACACUUAAU
rfam:Oryza rufipogon genomic scaffold, chr09